rnacentral:rRNA from 1 species
AUUGAACGCUGGCGGCAGGCCUAACACAUGCAAGUCGGACGGUAGCACAGAGAGCUUGCUCUCGGGUGACGAGUGGCGGACGGGUGAGUAAUGUCUGGGGAUCUGCCCGAUAGAGGGGGAUAACACUGGAAACGGUGGCUAAUACCGCAUAACGUCGCAAGACCAAAGAGGGGGACCUUCGGGCCUCUCACUAUCGGAUGAACCCAGAUGGGAUUAGCUAGUAGGCGGGGUAACGGCCCACCUAGGCGACGAUCCCUAGCUGGUCUGAGAGGAUGACCAGCCACACUGGAACUGAGACACGGUCCAGACUCCUACGGGAGGCAGCAGUGGGGAAUAUUGCACAAUGGGCGCAAGCCUGAUGCAGCCAUGCCGCGUGUAUGAAGAAGGCCUUCGGGUUGUAAAGUACUUUCAGCGGGGAGGAAGGCGAUGUGGUUAAUAACCGCGUCGAUUGUCGUUACCCGCAGAAGAAGCACCGGCUAACUCCGUGCCAGCCGCCGCCGUAA